CCCCAGAGGAAGGAAGAUCUGAGCAUGGCCUGCUGCCCCUAGGGCAAUUGAUAUCAGCCUUGAUCUAGCCUUUGGUGUGGACAGAAACUCACAUCCUCUGGGGCAUCCUCCUUUCCAGAAAGCAUCAGAAUCAAACAUUCUGGAGAAGGCCUCACUGUGACCUGAACAAUUCGAGACAGACAACAUCCCCAGAGGAAGGAAGAUCUGAAUGUGGCUUGCUGCCCAUGGGAAAUAAAUGUCAGCCUUGGUGCAACACCUGGGGUAGCCAAAAACUCACAAUCUUUGGGACAUACUCAUUUCCAGAAAG